rnacentral:rRNA from 1 species
CGGAACGGGUGAGUAACGCGUGAGGAAACUGCCUCAAAGAGGGGGACAACAGUUGGAAACGACUGCUAAUACCGCAUAAGCCCACGGCUCGGCAUCGAGCAGAGGGAAAAGGAGCAAUCCGCUUUGAGAUGGCCUCGCGUCCGAUUAGCUAGUUGGUGAGGUAACGGCCCACCAAGGCGACGAUCGGUAGCCGGACUGGGAGGUUGAACGGCCACAUUGGGACUGAGACACGGCCCAG